GGCCUCCCAAUUCUUACCACAGCUGUGUUCUUUACAUUGACUAUAUAGUCAGUAUAUAUAUAUAUAUAUAUAUAUACACACACCUCAACCCAGGCCCUUUGCCUGGUUUGUAUUGUGAAUUGGGGACAAAA